GACUGGGAUUAGUGGUUAGGCCACAGCACUCUCACCGCUGCGGCCCGGGUCCGAUUCCCGGCCAGGCG
rnacentral:tRNA from 1 species